rnacentral:rRNA from 1 species
UAAUACGAAGGGUCCAAGCGUUGUUCGGAAUUACUGGGCUUAAAGAGCACGUAGGCGGAAAACUAAGUGUCUUGUGAAAUCCCUCGGCUCAACCGAGGAACUGCUUGGCAUACUGGUUUUCUUGAGGCAAGUAGAGGCGCGUAGAACUCUAGGUGGAGCGGUGAAAUGCGUAGAUAUCUAGAGGAAUGCCUGUGGAGAAGUCGGCGCGCUGGGCUUGACCUGACGCUGAGGUGCGAAAGCGUGGGUAGCGAACAGGAUUAGAUACCCUGGUAGUCCACGCUGUAAACGAUGUCUACUAGGUCGUGGAGGUUCUGACACCGUCGCGGCCGGAGCUAAAGUAUUAAGUAGACCGCCUGGGGAGUACGGUCGCAAGGCUA